rnacentral:lncRNA from 1 species
UUUAGGUUCAAGCUGGUGGUCUUCUGGUUUUCUUGCUAAGGUUGGUGUUCCCAGUUUGCGUGCGGGUCUCUUCAGGUCUUCUGGGUUCCAGUUUGUUUCUUCUUACCUGUUUGUUUAUUUGGUUCCCUUCUUGCUGGAGUGUUUUGUUCCUGGGUGUUCUUGGGGUCUUCUUGCAGCUGGGAUUGUUUGUUUCUGUAUGCUUUGAUCGUGGUUAUUGAUUUGUGAUUGUUGCUGGAUUUUCUUGCUGGUCGGUUUGGUUUUCACUCUUGGUGCCGGGCUCCUCCAGUUUCC